CAGCCUCACCGCCUCCCUCACCGCGCUACGGCUUGGCGCCACUUUACAUCCACUUUAGCGGGGGGUUUAAACACUUCAGCAAGACAGGUCCCGGGCCGCACCGAACUACAAACGCCAGAAUUCUGCAGGAGGCAGAAACCGGAUUUAAAGUGGAUCCAUGCUCUAGUGCAGGCAUGGGCAAACUUGGGCCCUCCAGGUGUUUUGGACUUCAACUCCCGCCGGUAGGCUUUUGCCCAGGCCUGCUCUAGUGUGAUGAUGUCCCUACUAAAGUCGCAACAUAGAUUGUGAGGUCCGUUGGAAACUAGGCAAUUGUGGUUUAUAUAUCUGUGGAGUGUCCAGGGUGGGAAAAAGAAGUUUUGCCUGCCUGAGGUAGUUGUGAAUGUUGCGAUUGGCCACCCUGAUUAGCAUUGAAUAGUCUGGCAACUUCAAAGCCUGACUGUUUCCUGCCUGGGGAAAUUCUUUGACAAGGGAAUUCCAGACUAGAAACAAUCAGGCCCAGUUAACACCUCCCAACAAAGCAUAUGGACAAUUUCAACAUAACAGAGGAUACCAUGAAAAUGAACAAAAUCUGGCUACCAGUAUUUAAAAUCUCUAAAAUCAGGACAGUAAAUAAAGAGCAACACUAAAAAAAAAAAAAAACCAGAGGAAUUCCAGACAGGAAACAAUCAGGACUAGCUAACACCUCCCAACAAAGGAUUCCGCCAGGCAGGAAGCAGCCAAGCUUUGAAGCUGCAAGGCUAUUCAGUGCUAAUUAAGGUGAUCAAUUGCAACAUUCACACUUGCCUCAAACAGACAAGAGUUCUGUCUCCCAUCCUGGACCUUCCAGAGAUAUAUAAACCCCACUUGCCUAGUUUCCAACAGAUCUCACAACCUCUGAGUAUGCCUGUCAUAGAUGUAGGUGAAAUGUCAGAAGGGAAUGCUUCAAGAGCAUGGCCUUUCAGCCCCCAAAACUAACAGCAACCCAGUAUAAUGAGUCUACCACACAAUUAAACAGACAAUAACACUUUCAAACCAGGAACAUUUGUUUUUCAAAUUUUGUCACAUAGUGUAAUUUUGCUGAAACAAAGGUUUGAGUCUGUUGAACCAUCCAAAAGCAGAGGUGUUGCUGUCUCAGCCACGUCCAGAUUUACAACAUUGAUUCAUGUUUCCUUUACACCUUGUACGCAUCACCAGACGGGAACUUUGUAUGCAAUAUUGUUACUCAUUUUGCACAUGAAACAAAGUUUGUGUAUGUUGAACCAUCCAAUAGCAAACGUGUCACUCUUUCAGCCACCCUUGUGGACAAUGUUACAUUUUGGAGUAUUUCUGAUGAGUAGGAAAAGGAAGGCCUACAUCCAUUUGCUAGACUUCACAAGGGAAUGUAUUGAUUGAUUCAUGAAAAGAUGUCUAUCCUGGCAUCUCAAGGUGGGAUACAAUAUAAAUACAACGAAGUAUCAGUUAUCCAGAAAUCCAACAUGUUCCAAAAUUGUCCACCCAGGUGGCUGAGAGAGUGACAUCUCUGCUUUCUGAUGGCUCAAUGGUAUACCAACUUUGUUACAUGCACAGAAUUAUUCAAAAUAUUGUGUAUAAAAAUAGCCUGAACCCACAUGCAUAAAGUGUAUAUGAAACUUAAAUUCAUGUUUUGUUUAUAUUUGUGUCCAAUUGCCAAGAUAGUUUAUUUUGUAUAUAUCAAUAUCUUAAAAUCUGGGGGAGAUGUGUGUGAAAAGCCAUCCCAUUGAAUCAAGACUAGUCCCAUUGAAUUAACUGAACAUUAAUUCAAUGCUUGAUUUAAUGUUCAAGCACUUAUCAAUUGGAUUUGGGAGAAUGAGGAGGAAUUUUGACAUUUCAAUCCGAUUGUAUCCUUGCUGUUUGAGUAGAAGUAAAUCCACUGGGUCCAAUGCAGCUUGUUCCUAGACAGUGCACUGUGGUGUUACAUUCUUAAAAAGCUGAACACGUUCUCUUUCAGAAAGUAACAAAUCAUGAGUAUUUUUAGGGAUCAAAACCAAUCCAUCCUUUAUGGUAAAAUGUAUUAUUUAGAGAAAUAAAAUACAUAUGCAGCUCUG